rnacentral:rRNA from 1 species
AUUGAACGCUGGCGGCAUGCUUUACACAUGCAAGUCGAACGGUAACAGGCCUUCGGGUGCUGACGAGUGGCGAACGGGCGCGUAAUGCAUCGGAACGUGCCCAGAGGUGGGGGAUAACGCAGCGAAAGCUGUGCUAAUACCGCAUGUGAUCUGAGGAUGAAAGCGGGGGACCAGGCAGCAAUGUUUGGCCUCGCGCCUUUGGAGCGGCCGAUGUCAGAUUAGGUAGUUGGUGGGGUAAAGGCCUACCAAGCCGACGAUCUGUAGCUGGUCUGAGAGGACGACCAGCCACACUGGGACUGAGACACGGCCCAGACUCCUACGGGAGGCAGCAGUGGGGAAUUUUGGACAAUGGGCGCAAGCCUGAUCCAGCAAUGCCGCGUGCGGGAAGAAGGCCUUCGGGUUGUAAACCGCUUUUGUACGGAACGAAAAGGCUCUGGCUAAUACCUGGGGCUGAUGACGGUACCGUAAGAAUAAGCACCGGCUAACUACGUG